AACCACACUAUCAAUGAAUGGAUUCACCCGUGAGAUGACGUGACUGUUUCACCUAGAAAGAAAACAUGGCAUCAUAUUACCAGCCAUCGCACAAAAUUAAUAGGGUGUCACGUUCUCAUCUUAGAUGGAACAACCAUGUCAUCUUACGGGUGAAUCCAUUCAUCGAUAGUGUGGUU
rfam:Oryza meridionalis cultivar OR44 (W2112) chromosome 12, whole genome shotgun sequence.